rnacentral:rRNA from 1 species
AAUCAACGCUGGCGGCGCGCCUAACACAUGCAAGUCGAACGAGGAAGCCCGCAAGGGUGAGUAAAGUGGCGUACGGGUGAGUAACACGUGGAUCAGUCUACCUUCUAGUGGGGAAUACCGUUGGGAAACCGACGACAAUACCGCAUAAGCUCGAGAGAGGAAAGCAGCAAUGCGCUGGAAGAGGAGUCCGCGGUCGAUUAGUUAGUUGGCAGGGUAAAGGCCUACCAAGACUGGAUCGAUAGCCGGCCUGAGAGGGCACACGGCCACACUGGCACUGAAACACGGGCCAGGACUCCUACGGGAGGCAGCAGUGGGGAAUAUUGCACAAUGGGGGAAACCCUGAUGCAGCGACGCCGCGUGAGCGAUGAAGCCCUU